AAUCAAGAUAUCAACCUUACCUCAAACCCUCUGCCGAUUUCUGAUUUAAACCUCAAUCUCAGUUGUACGUUUUCAAAAAUGGUGAGGACCGAGUUGUCUGCGAAGGCAAAGAAUAAAGUAAGUGCAUGCUUAAUGAAGUAGGAACUGUAAAUAAGCAAGAUGAAAAAUUAGAGUCUCUUCAUUUGCAGAGAGACACUUAAAUGGCGAACAGUGGAAUGAUGGACUAUUAUCUACAGUUAGGAAGCGGGUUCACAUGGAGUUAGAAAGAAAAGCAAUGCAGGGGGAUGCUAGCAUGGCAUUGAAUUCUCACU